GACGAACGCUGGCGGCGUGCCUAAUACAUGCAAGUAGAACGCAGUUGCGAACGGGUGAGUAACGCGUAGGUAACUGCCUCAUAGCGGGGGAUAACUAUUGGAAACGAUAGCUAAUACCGCAUACUGUGAGCUGGACCUGCGUUGUAUUAGCUAGUUGGUGAGGUAAAGGCUCACCAAGGCGACGGUACAUAGCCGACCUGGGAGGGUGAUCGGGCACACUGGGACUGGGACACCGGCCAGACUCCGACGGGAGGCAGGAGUAGGGAAUCUUCGGAAAUGGACGGAAGUCUGACUGAGCAACGCCGGGUGAGUUAAGAAGGUUUUCGGAUCGUAAAGAUCUGUUGUUAGGGAAGCGGUAACUAAAGAGAAAGGGACGGCUAACUACGUGCCAGCAGCCGCGGUAAUUC
rnacentral:rRNA from 1 species